UGAUGAGUCCCAAAUAGGACGAAAUGCGCGUC
rfam:Schistosoma haematobium scaffold325_41, whole genome shotgun sequence.